rnacentral:tRNA from 1 species
GCGCCCUUAGCUCAGUUGGAUAGAGCAACGACCUGCUAAGUCGUGGGCCGCAGGUUCGAAGCCUGCAGGGCGCGCCA